UACGAAGGGGGCUAGCGUUGUUCGGAUUUACUGGGCGUAAAGCGCGUGUAGGCGGGUCGUUAAGUUGGGGGUGAAAUCCCGAGGCUCAACCUCGGAACUGCCUUCAAAACUGGCGACCUGGACUCAAGCAGAGGCAAGUGGAAUUGCGAGUGUAGAGGUGAAAUUCGUAGAUAUUCGCAGGAACACCAGUGGCGAAGGCGACUUGCUGGGCUUGUGGUGACGCUGAGACGCGAAAGCGUGGGGAGCAAACAGG
rnacentral:rRNA from 2 species